ensembl:lncRNA
CUGCUAGCAAGUGGUUUCGCUAUUAGGAACACAGAGCUCUCACUCAGAAGAGGUCAGAUCCCAGUGUGAAAAUCCUUGAUAGCAUGCCGUGAUCAAAGGCUUCAACAUUUCUUCUUUUCUGGUCAGAAAAGAAUGUCAGAUUCUGACAGUUCCUGUGGGGCUGGAUGGACCUCUCCCACUUGGCCCUUCUGUGUGCACAACUUAUCCUGAGGAACAUUCAGCAAUUUUCAAAACUUUGAGCUUCAUCACCAAGAUGGGUUUUGGGGAAGGCCACAGCUUUGCCUGUAUCAACAAGCAAUAUGAUGCAGUUGGAGCAGAUCUCUGGAGUGAGUUGGUGCUGAGGACCCAGCCUCAACACACAGCUGCUCGAGGCUCCCUUCAGUCUGGCCCCAGGCUGGCUGGGUGCCCAUGAGGAGGUGGCAUGCACCAGGAGUGCUGCUGGGCAGCACCUCUCCUCAUGGGCUUGCCUAGCAGAAGCCCAGCUGGAGCUCCUUGAGACCAGUCUGCAGCACAAACUUCAAUGGGUUGUACCUGGGGAAGGCAUGAUCAUUUCAUGAUUUUACGUAAAUUGCAACAAUUAGACAGCCCUCUCUAAGGUUAAGGACUAGCUAAACUCUUGUUCUGACUUCUCUCCCAUGUGCUUGUUGCCUCCUUGUCCGAGAAUGGAUUCUCAACACUGAGAAGAGUUCAAGACAUUCAUCUUAAAUGACUGAAGUCUUUUCCUGGAGCCACGAAGACGUAACUUAAGCGGGAGAUUUAUUGAAUAGAAAACAAAUAUUCCAUAUUCUGAUCCUGCAAAUGACCAUGAGUCAAUAAAUCUGAGAAAGCUGCUCACGCACUUAGCCAUUUGCAGAACUGGGUCCCCAAAAAGGAUCUUCAUAGUAAUGAUCAACAAAUAAUAGAUAGAGGUCCAGUGCAGAAAUUUGGAUGCUUAUUAUACUUAUGUAAACCUUUUGGAUUGACAUCACUUGGCUGCAAAUACACGGUCUAAGACAGCGGAAAGUGUUGUAGCACUUCUACUAUUAGUCAGACCCCUGAAGAGCAGAGAGCAUCAUGGAGAAGAAAAAACACUGAAAAAGAAAUAAACCAAACUUUGCUGAAAUGGCAAUAAAAGCUUGUUGCAGAUGGAAAGAAUAUGAUAUAUUACCAGAAAUUAUUAGCCUUUCCAGGUCCAUCCCAGUCAACGCUUUGGCAUGUUCAUAACUUGAAUGCUCUCAUCUUCUGAAUUUGAACAUGUCACCGCUCUGGAUCCUGAGCACAGUCAUGCUGCUGUCAGUGUUGUACCAGCGGGUGGCAUCUGUCCUACCAUGCUUCCAGGAUACUGUGGCAUCUGACCUGCAGCUGGUGCACGUUUCGCAGCCAGAACCAUGACCAUAGGUACAAAGCAUAUAAGGAAUCACAGAUCUAAACAGGCAGUUCAGCUUAAUGAAGCAAUACAGUAUUUUUCUUUGACUCUCACUGACUUCUUAAAGCCAGUAUUUCACUAUAAGCCUGUAUUUCCUUAUCACUUUCCCAAUGCAAUUGUGGAUACAGUUCCAUCAUGACAAAGAACUCUGUAGCGCAUCUGGAGACGGACCCCUCACAAGGGAGCAUACAUGCCCCUCAGAGAAGCACAGUCGAGGAAUCCUAGGAGAGUGAUGCAAUUCCCUUAAGUGCCAGAAAUUUCAUAGACCUUGUUGUGUGCACUGGCCACAUGGAUGUAGGAAAACUGAAAAGUUAAAGAUUCAGGCUGCAAGCACUAUGGACUUUGGUCUGGUGCUCACAGGGAGAAGGUGCCUGCCCAGCAGCCUCCUGGAUCAGAUAAAUUGCUGUUUCCCUUACUUUCAUCCAUUGAAGUUUGGUAGUUAGUAGUUUAAAAAGUUUAUUGUUCUUUUGUGGUUUGACAUAUUUUACUUAUCUUUAAAACUGGUUUCUACAUCGUCCUGUUGCCCCCCCUCCUCACCUUGUGAGAGGAAACAAAACACAAGUACUGAAGCUGAAGGCUAUUUUAGUGUGAUGCAAAUUAUGCUCUCAGGUCUACCAGGAUAAAAUUAGUGACUAAUUUAAAUGUGAGCAGAGUCAGGACCAUUCUCUCUGCCAUUUCUACCCAAACACAGUAGAGAAGGCCAGAGGCACCACUGCCUGAGCAGGAGCACAGCCAGCAGAAUGAGGGAAGUAACCACUCCUACUCAGCACUCAAUAGCCCACAUCCAGUAUACUGUGUCCAGUUUUGGAUACUCCAGUAAAAUAAAGAGAUUAGUAAUCUGAGGAAAUUUCAGUGGAGGAUUACGGCCAGGGCUGAAAUACCUGCCUCAUGAGGUUGAGGGGCUGGGCUUUCUCAGCCUGCAGAACGAUUUUGGGGAGAAAGUAGAUGGAGCCAAGUGCAUGAUGGGAGAAUAAGAGACAUUAGGCAUAAGUUGAAAUAAAAGUGAUUCAGGUUGGAUUUCAGGAGAAGCCUUUUCACCCUUCAGAGAGUCAGGCAGGGAAAGAACUUGCCCAGAGAGGCUGUGCAGUUUCUGUCCCUGGGAGUUUUCAAGAUCUGACUGGGCAGCCUGCUCUGACCUCAGCACUGCUCCUGUCUUGAGCACACAGCUGGGUUAGAGACCUCCUGAGGUAUCUACCAGUCUGAAUUUUCCUGUGAUCCUAUGACAAGGGAAGCCUGGUAUUUCAAGUUAUUACCCAAGGCAGACCUGACCUCUGAACCUCCCGUGGGCUGCUCAUCACCCAUUAUUUCCAAAGUAAGAGGAGAACAUAGUUCAUCAUUCUAUCAAUGGACUGACAGAUAGACAGGCUGACAGACAGACAUAUUGCUAAGACGUGGAGACAGUUGAAGGAGCCCUUCUUUUCAUGUCUGUGCAGUACUUAUACAUUAAAGCAAUGUCUAUUUCAGGUAUAAAAGCAAAACUUUUAUCACUAUUGACUAUUCUGGGGGGUCAUUCUGAAUUGAGUUGGAUAAUUACUAAGUAAUAACAUCAACUGUUCUGCAACCACCAUCAGUGAGAAUGACUUAAAAGAAAUAUUAUAUUCCAGCAUGCUUCAUUGGGAUGUUUUUGGAAAUAGUUAGCUACUAAGACAUUAGAGAUUCAGACAUUAUAGAUGUUAAAAGGUAUAUUAGGUUGCCCACUACUUGGUAAUUAAAUACAAAAUUAAAAACUUUUGGCCCAGAUACAUUGAUGCAUAAUAAUCUCUUUGAUUGAUUUCCUAACUCUAUUAUAGUGUUCCUUUUUAUUACUCUUAGUUUUAUUGAAUUGUAUUUCCUGGUGCUGAAGCAAAAGAGAAAAAUAAUAGCUGCUAGUUGUUAAGAUCCAGUUUAAUUUUGUUCUGCCUAUUGUAAACACAACUGGAAGUGUCUCCUUUAGAAUUGCUCAUGGUCUUUUUUUUAGAGAUAGGAGUGUGUACAAAGAGAGAAGUAUGGCACAAGUCUGAGAGUCAGGAACAGAGUCAUCUACAUAAUGUAACGAUUUAUAGAAGUGAAGAGGAGGCAGUCUGAGAGGAAGCCAGUAUGAGACUGGCCUUAGUUGACUUAUUCAGAAAUUUUAAGAGAGCCAGCUGCAGCUCUCCUUGGGACAAUUUUUCAUUAUGUUAUUUUUUUUUCCAGUUUAUACAGGAUACCAAAGCAGUUCUUCUGUUGGUUGCAUAGAUAUUUCCAGGAUCCUUGAAUUUAUGAAACACAAAGCUUGGACAUUCUUGCAAGAAAACGGUAUCUGAUAACAUUGCCAAAGCUGUGUCCCGUACUGUCAGGCAACAUACAAAGGACUAGUAAAAGAAAUAUGAUCAUAUUUGUACUGACAAGUCAACAGAAGGGGUGAAAUGUCCCCAUCACUGUUUUUUUGUGUUUCUGCCUUUUGCGGUCUUAUAGAUAUCCUAGGUAUGAAACAAGUUGUCUUCUGUUCUGACCUCUG